AGUGAAUGCUAUCCAGUAAGUAGUUAAAACUCAUUUUAUCACAUCGCAACACAAACACAACCUCAAUGGACUAAAUGUAGACCAUCUUCAUCUUAUUUCAUUUUAUAAAAUGUUUAUUAUUUCCUUCCUAUUAAAAAAUAAGUUUUCAAAUUAGGAUAAACGAUUUUACAUAUUCCACUUUAAAAUGUGCAAGAAGUUUUACAAAAUUCUUUUAGAUUGCAGGUGAUAAAGGCUGGACUGACCAUCCUUUAAGCAGCACGCAUUGCACGAACCACUGGGAAUACCAGGAGAACACGGUACAAACGGCCUCUCCCUCAUAAUCCUCUGGCCUCCCCUGCCCUCUCCGGAAAACACCUGCCUCUGGUGACUGUUGUGAAGACGCACAUGUGCGGUGUAGACCACCCCAUACAAAGUUGGUGCCGAAAACGGGGUACGUUCUUAUCAUUGUUGCUGUCAGACCAAAGGGUAAGAGUUUGUCCCUUGCAUGAAACCCGUGGAUCUCCAGGAUAGGGAAAGCCAGAAGAAAGCGCGUGCGACUUUCCGGAUCGGAAGCAGCUUCCUUUCCUCUCAGUCCAACUUUCACUGCAGCCACUGCUUUGGCGACCAGCCCAGCACAAGCGAACCGGAAGCACGCCUGCCGGCACUGGCUUCCGGUCUACCCAGGCUGCUCUGCAGCGGCGCAUGCGCAGCACGACAGGCCGUUUUCCUUGAGGCGUAAUUGCUGACCGCGUGUCGUGUGGGCCCGACCGUAGACGCUCGAGAGUUCUAAGUCUCGCUGGGUAAAAUCAUACGAACGUGAGUCAAUGCCUGUGACAGAUGAAAGGAGGAUCAUCACCAACGUGCUGAUGUUCAUCAUCCCUGGAUGUGGGGCUGCAGGUGAGGCAGCUUCCCAUUCCGGGAAGAAAGAUAAAAAAGAAGAGAGGAGGGAAGAAAAGAGGGAGAGAAAGAAGAAGGGGGGCAAAAAGGGAAGGAGGAAGAGAGAGAGAACAAGGAGGAGGAGCACAAGGACAAUGAAAGAAAGGAAAGAAGGAAAAGGAAAGAAAGAAAAUGCCCCAAAGGUUCCACUUGGAUGCUGGUGGGACAAGGUGGCCCUGGCAAACCUCCCCCUCCUCCCCGGUGUCAGGCCUGACCUGAAGGAUUCUCUUCCCAGCUUCCUGAUCAUCCCUGUUCUUCCAGAAGCACGCAGGUUCAUGUUGGUGAUCUAUUUUUUUCUUAAUUGAGAUGCAACUGUUAGUAUGGUACAUUUUGCUGACAUUCAUGUCACAUUUCCUAGAUACCAGAUAAAAAAUACUUUUAAUUAGUUAUAAAUGAGAAUGUAUACACAACAAUUCUGAAACUGUGUCUUCCUCAAAGUUUGCUUCCAAGUAUGAUACAUGUGGCUUUAGUGCCAAUUCUUAUUAAUUGUGUAAUGCAGUCUGCUGACACCCGUGACACAUUUCCCCAUAUCCAGUCACAAAAAUACUUCUAAUUAGCCAUAAAUGAGAGUGUACACACAACAUUUCCAAUAGCCACUCUGUUCCUCUCAAAGUUCACGUCAGAGAAAACUUAAACUGUUGCCACUGAGCUGCCUUGCUCCAAUUCCAACAACUCCUAUUUCAGAAGUGCUUAGAAAGUUGAAUCUUUAGAUCUUGCUUGGUAAACAGAUCUGAGGUAGAUUUAUUUCAACCCGAGUCCUCUAUUUGAGAUACAUGUGCUCCCAAACCCAACUAAAAUGCAUACCAUGGCCAUUUCAAAGGCAGUGAUAAAAUUACUUGGUUAAAUAUUUUGGCUAGAUUUCCUGUUUCCAGAGGCCCAGGCAUUAUAUUCUGUGGCUUCUGCGUUUGCACAUGGCGAUGGGGCGGUAUUAAAUGGCACCACAUCUGCCAGCCUCCGUAAGAACCAUGCCCCACAGGGAAGCCCCAGGCACCCAUCCACCGCUAUGAGCCACACAGACUGGGACGGACGACUCCAGACCUCAAUAACCACCUUCAAGUUCCCAGACCUUUAACUUUCUUCAGGAAUCCAGGCUGUAAGCCUCUUAAGAUGAUCCCAGACCAUAAAGUACCUCCCUCAGUUCAAAGUGUGGAGUCUAUAAAAUCACUCUAGUUAUAAUUCAGAUAUUCUCCAAACUCGAGGCUGUGAAGCAUUCUGAUCUGCUCUUAGAUUUCUGUAUAAUCUCUCCUUCAUUUCACAACAGGCUUUGUCUUCUGUAGCUCUGUGCAGAUGGCAAUCCUUUGUAAGUCAUGAGGCCAUGAUUUGUGCAUGGUACAUCACAGUGAAAGGGGGGCUUUAUGUCAGGGGAGGAAAAACAGUUCUGUUAAACUUUGCUUACUUUCACUACCUUUAAAAACUCAUUAAAUAGGAUUCUGCCUUUUACUUGCCGAAGUGUUUAAAACCCUUUUUAAUGAAAAAUUCUAAUCCUAUAUAAUCACACCAUAAGUACUUUCUUUCUGUUCAAAGAGGAAACAGUGUAAUUUUAAUGCAUACCUCUGGCAGGCUAUAAUAAAAGCGUUCAGUCAGUUUUAAAUCGGAUUAGUGUAACUGUUACAGAUUAGAGAAAAACCUCAAGUGAUUGAAGCAAGUCCCCCACUCAAGGGAACUAAUUUAGGGUCCAGGCCUGAUCAUACCAGACUUGAAGGGAACAUCAAGAGUCUUGCCUUCAGUUUGCCCAAAAUUUGUUCACAAGCUCAUACAAUAAGGUCCUGUGCUAGGUAUUACAGCCAUAUAAAGACAAGCCUUCCAAUGGGAGGCAGACCAGAUGGAAUGCAGCCCUAGACAAUGUGGAAUGAAGGGAAGAGCAGGAGAAGUGGGGCCUCCUUAGAGAAUGCAGAAUGGACAAAAUCACAUCUCAGAGAGAGAACCAUGGAGAUGUCUUAGAGGAUGAAACUUCUAAACGAGGCCUUAAAAGACAGACAGGUGAAGAGACAGGGACAUCCUUGGUAGGGUGGGAAAGGGUAUAAAAUUUUCCGAGAAUUAGGAAAAUUGAGUUGUUUAGAACAUGGAGAAGGGGAAGGGAAUGCCUCUGUGUCGAGGGCUGCUUUGUAGCAGGCACUGUACCAGGCACCUACAUCUCUUUUCUCAUUUAGUCCCCACAACAUCCCAGCGAGGUGGGUAUUACCCCCAUUUUAUAGAUGAGAAGACUGAACCUCAGGGAGAUUCUCCAACUUGUCUAAGGUCAAACAGCUAGCAAGUGCUUGCACUCAGAAGAAAAAUAUGGUUGAGCUUCUCUCAAUAAUUAGUCUAGGGAACUCCCCAAAUCGCUCCUUCCUCUUAGCCAUCAUUAGGGCCCAGCUUGUUCCAAAAGACUUUCCUGACCACCUGAGUUAGAAAUAUCUCUAGUCCCUGAAUUCAUAGCAUUCUUAAUUCUGUUACCCAAGAGGCAUUUAUUGUACCCUGGCUUAUAUUGUUAUCUUUUCUCGUGCAAAUGUUUACCUCAGUGCUUCUUCCUUGGUAGGAUCCGUUGUGUAGAGCAGGAAUAUCAAAAACAUCUGAGAAUAAAUGCACAUAUAUAUUUUUAAAUGUUUAUAUUUAUGAAACUGCCAUCCCACCCACCUUGCUUGGCCUUCUUCCAUAGUCUAAUAC
rnacentral:lncRNA from 1 species